UACCUGGUUGAUCCUGCCAGUAAUCAUAUGCUUGUCUCAAAGAUUAAGCCAUGCAUGUCUAAGUACAUGCCGAAAUAAGGCGAAACCGCGAAUGGCUCAUUAAAUCAGUUAUGGUUCCUUAGAUCGUUUCUUCCUACUUGGAUAACUGUGGCAAUUCUAGAGCUAAUACAUGCAGUGAGCCUGAAGCCCUUUGGGCGACGGGUGCUUUUAUUAGACCAAGAUCGAUCGGGUUUCGGCCCGUAUUGUGUGGUGACUCUGGAUAACUUUGUGCUGAUCGCAUGGCCACGAGCCGGCGACGUUUCUUUCAAGUGUCUGCCUUAUCAACUUUCGAUGGUAGGUUACUUGCUUACCAUGGUUGUUACGGGUAACGGAGAAUCAGGGUUCGAUUCCGGAGAGGGAGCCUGAGAAACGGCUACCACAUCCAAGGAAGGCAGCAGGCGCGCAAAUUACCCACUCCCGGCACGGGGAGGUAGUGACGAAAAAUAACAAUACGGGACUCUUUUGAGGCCCCGUAAUUGAAAUGAGUACACUCUAAAUCCUUUAACGAGGAUCAAUUGGAGGGCAAGUCUGGUGCCAGCAGCCGCGGUAAUUCCAGCUCCAAUAGCGUAUACUAAAGCUGCUGCGGUUAAAAAGCUCGUAGUUGGAUCUCAGUUCCAGACGAGUAGUGCAUCUACCCGAUGCGACGGCUCGGACUGAACAUCAUGCCGGUCCUUUCUUGGUGCACUUCAUUGUGUGCCUCGAGAAGGCCGGUGCUUUUACUUUGAAAAAAUUAGAGUGCUCAACGCAGGCGAGUCGCCUGAAUAAACUUGCAUGGAAUAAUAGAACAAGACCUCGUUUCUGUUCUGUUGGUUUUUGGAAUACGAGGUAAUGAUUAAGAGGGACAGACGGGGGCAUUCGUAUUGCGGCGCUAGAGGUGAAAUUCUUGGACCGUCGCAAGACGAACUACUGCGAAAGCAUUUGCCAAGAAUGUUUUCUUUGAUCAAGAACGAAAGUCAGAGGUUCGAAGGCGAUCAGAUACCGCCCUAGUUCUGACCAUAAACGAUGCAACCAGCGAUCCGCCUGAGUUACUCAAAUGACUCGGCGGGCAGCUUCCGGGAAACCAAAGUGUUUGGGUUCCGGGGGAAGUAUGGUUGCAAAGCUGAAACUUAAAGGAAUUGACGGAAGGGCACCACCAGGAGUGGAGCCUGCGGCUUAAUUUGACUCAACACGGGAAAACUUACCCGGCCCGGACACUGGGAGGAUUGACAGAUUGAGAGCUCUUUCUUGAUUCGGUGGAUGGUGGUGCAUGGCCGUUCUUAGUUGGUGGAGCGAUUUGUCUGGUUAAUUCCGAUAACGAACGAGACUCUAGCCUAUUAAAUAGGUGCGGGGUUCCCAGCACCUUACAACCUUCUUAGAGGGACAAGCGGCUCCUAGCCGCACGAAACAGAGCAAUAACAGGUCUGUGAUGCCCUUAGAUGUCCGGGGCCGCACGCGCGCUACACUGAAGGAAGCAGCGUGUCUUUAUCCCUGUCUGAAAAGACUGGGUAACCCGUGGAACUUCUUUCGUGAUUGGGAUAGGGGCUUGCAAUUGUUCCCCUUGAACGAGGAAUUCCCAGUAAGCGCGAGUCAUAAGCUCGCGUUGAUUACGUCCCUGCCCUUUGUACACACCGCCCGUCGCUACUACCGAUUGAAUGAUUUAGUGAGGUCUUCGGACCGAUGUCCGGCGCGGCCUUUCGGUUGCGCCGGUCUGUUGGAAAGAUGACCAAACUUGAUCAUUUAGAGGAAGUAAAAGUCGUAACAAGGUUUCCGUAGGUGAACCUGCGGAAGGAUCAUUA
rnacentral:rRNA from 1 species